AAUAGAUACCCUGGUAGUCCACGCCGUAAACGAUGAGUGCUAAGUGUUAGGGGGUUUCCGCCCCUUAGUGCUGCAGCUAACGCAUUAAGCACUCCGCCUGGGGAGUACGGUCGCAAGACUGAAACUCAAAGGAAUUGACGGGGGCCCGCACAAGCGGUGGAGCAUGUGGUUUAAUUCGAAGCAACGCGAAGAACCUUACCAGGUCUUGACAUCCCAUUGACCGCUAUGGAGACAUAGCUUUCCCUUCGGGGACAGUGGUGACAGGUGGUGCAUGGUUGUCGUCAGCUCGUGUCGUGAGAUGUUGGGUUAAGUCCCGCAACGAGCGCAACCCUUGUUCUUAGUUGCCAUCAUUUAGUUGGGCACUCUAAGGAGACUGCCGGUGACAAACCGGAGGAAGGUGGGGAUGACGUCAAAUCAUCAUGCCCCUUAUGACCUGGGCUACACACGUGCUACAAUGGACGGUACAAACGGUUGCCAACCCGCGAGGGGGAGCUAAUCCGAUAAAACCGUUCUCAGUUCGGAUUGUAGGCUGCAACUCGCCUAC
rnacentral:rRNA from 1 species